CUGCUCUCUCCGCGUUUCUCGCGCUGGCCGCUUUGGGGGCUCGCUUCCGGGACUUGCCCCACCCCUAGGGUUUCACGCUGCACCAUCCCCACGCAGCCGGUGUAUCCUGCCCAAGGGCACUCGCUUCAAAGGUCGAAGCCGUGGGUACGCAGGAGCGAGAGGGAGGGAGGGGAGGGAUAACCGGUGACGUGCCUUCUACGACACCCCUUUCCCGCCUACCAUGUUUUCCCUCGCACACGCGCGAAAGCGCGCGCCGCGUGUGAUGGCCGAUGAAAAUACGAGAGAUCUGCACCCUAUUUCUUUCCCAUCUGUCUUCAUCCAAGCAGUCUACGCGAAAGGUAGAGCGGCGCGAGUUUUGAGGGAAGCGCAUCUGUUCAGUGGGUAUGAGGCGCUCGCAUUAGAGAAUUGUCACAGCAGCACACACACACACACACACACACACGUGAAGCGGCAGCUGGAGCCCAUCUCACAAAAAGGCAACGCAGAAACGACGUCGUAGGGGCUUUGCUCAUCACUAUUGGCUAAAUAUUUUGUCCACCCAAAUGAGCUACACCGAUGCGGCGAAUCUUGCAUCGCCUACCCUUACUUUCUUCUCUAUACCGCCGCCGACCGACUUUGCAUCUUCCGCUCCUCUCGUCCACCUCUCUCUUUCAUGCACUUGCCGUCCCUGAACCUGUCCACUUCGCACCCCAACUUCACGCGAAGCGCCCUGAUAAUGAGAGGACAAUUAGCGCACGCAAGACGAGACUAAACCGGUUUCUUCCGUAUACGCACAUGCCUUUGAUUCUGCCUAAGGCAAGCUGGCUGUAUGUGGACCUGCGUGAGACGCUUAUCGCCCUCACGCACCUACACGGACGACCAGAUGAGUGGGCGCGAUGGAGGGGCUGCGCGCGCGGUGUGCCGCGCAGGGGUUUGCGAUGGAUUUGCCUUGUUAUCGGCGCUUGCUUUGUGCGGCACCCUAGGCGUGCUGCACAGGAGCGUCAGUGGCCGCAGAGGACUGCACAAGCUCCUCAUCGCCUGGAUCUCAGGCGGACCUGCACUGAGCUGCACGCAAAUGUGCGAAGUCUAGGAAGCAAGUCAUGGUGCAAAGAAAAGCGCUGAUGACGCACCAUCAGCGCGACGCAGGUGAAAAGCGAAUGCGAGGGAGAAGAGGGGGGCGCGUCUCAGGGCACGGUGGAUGCCUACCCCCUCCCCCUUCCCUUCCCGUCUCGCACGGAUUGCCCACAAUCCGGUGCCACGUUGCCCUGACUCUCGCCUGCCGUGCCGGCCAAUGACGAGGCUGUAGCGGAGCGGAACAGAGGUGGGGGGUGGUAGGGUAGCGGCCGCCAACGCCCUUCCUGUUCGACCGCUCCCGCAGACGAAAGUGGCUGCCUGUUGUGCCCCUUCU
rnacentral:misc_RNA from 1 species